CAAUGCAGUUACCUCUAUCAAUCAUAUCAAUCAUAGACUCACCCAGAAGGCUAACAAAUUUGAUAUGCUCAUUGGCACUAAUUACACAAUCAUUAUUUGUAUUGAUUACAUCACAUAUCAGGCCUUCAGUUAUCUUACCUGCUACUGAUUCCACGAUGGAUAGAUUUUUAUUCUGAAGGUUACUUUUUAUGUCAUUUAAAUGCUAGCACAAUCUUACCUCUGAGCACAUUUUUAAUACUUCCUUAAUAUUCUUUAUUUUCUUAAACAGUGACAUUAAUUGCUCAGGCACUCUAGUAAUAAAUUAUUUUUAGACUUAAAGUAAAAAUGCAUUAGAAGCUAUUCACAUGUUAUAAAACAGUUGCAUAUUGUAAAGCAUGCCACAUUCAUAACAAGAAUGUGACUACGUUAUGCAGAAAUGUCCACUGAGUACUUCUGUUUGUUCUGCACUGGUUUGGACAAUUUCAGCUGGUUCUAAUAACAAACCUAUGACAUUGCUAGUAUUUAUUUCAUUCACAAUAGUGUUAUGUUUUUUUUUCCUCUGUCAUUAGUAUAUCUGACUGUAAAAUUUCUCAUUGCUGAUUUAUCGUGUUUUUGAAUGAGUAAAUAAAAGAUUUAUACUAUAUUUUCUAUCCUUUUGUAUUUCCUCUCCGGUGAGGAUAUUUAGAACAAAAGAUGGCAUCCUCUCUCACUGCACAAUUCAAUUUUUUGUUUCUAGGAAAAUCAUUCACAGUUAAAGACCUUUGAUCUCGUUUAUUCUGCCAGUAACUAAUUUUAUCAAGAAAUUCAUCCUUUUAAAGCAGAUUAUAGAUCAGGUCUAAACUUGGUUAGCAUACAACAGAUGUAAUUACAUGCUGGUAAUUGUGUAAGACAUUCUUGAAGUUAUUUAUACGUGUAUGUCCAUUGGAAAGGGAUCCCACUCUAAAGUAAAUCUGUCUUGGAUGUAACACUGUUUUCUUUUGUCUUGGAAAAUUUUGGUGUUUUGUUUUUUGAUACUACAUGGAUAUUUAACCAUGUCAGUGAAGGACCUCCAUUAUGAUUUGUCACAACUCUGUCUCCUACCUUUUUUCUUUCAGACAUUAUUCAGAUAUUUCAGAUGUUAUGAAGCGCGUGUUUGAAGAGCUGCCUAUCUGAUUUUAUUUGCUUGACUGUAUUGGUUAACAGGUUGAACCCAAAACCUGGUCAUCUGGGAUUACCCAUUAGAAAUUGACUAUGCAGGUGGCAGACCAAGUUCUACCUGUGAAACGACUCCAUACAUCUCCACAACGUGCUGCAUCGUCAUGUAGUAAAGCAAGAUAAUUAUCUAAGUAAACUGCUGCUAUAAUCAUUCUCCCAUCUAUGUUGCCAAGAAGCUGAAUUAGAAUAGUUCUGAAAUGCAGGAUUUGAAUUUUUGCUGGGCUUUAGUUCAAUCUAAUUAAAGCAAAUUGAUAUUCUUUGCUGACUGCUCACAUUUGGCAGAAGCAUUUUUAAUAAUUUAGAAUAUGUACAUUCACAGUAAACCCCAGUCUCAGUGGUAUUCACAAGCUCUGAGAAUAUGGGAACUUUUUCAUUAUGAGUGAAACCUGGAAUGUUUUAUGAGUAUAAAUGCACAAAUUGUACACAGGUCUUUUGAAAUGACCUAAGAACAACAUAUGUGGUAGCCCAGCAUGUGAAAAAUAAAUUAGGUUAGGACUGGGAGACAUUAUUUACAAAUACUAUUUUUAUGAAACAAAGUAUUUUCUGGCUGGGUGAGGUUUUGAAUGCCAUUCUCUUUCCUAUUUUUCACUUACAGAUUAGGGGUGCUGCUUCAACUGAACUGCCAUUUCUUUCCUCAUGCAGCCAUGGAGGGAUCCCCGUCACCUGCUUAUAAUGUCUGAAGAGGCGCCUUUACGGGUGGUCCUUCCACUCAGACACUGCAUGACUAAGCACAACAUCCAGUAGAGGUGAUUAAGUGUAGAUGUUGAGGAGGUAGCUGAUAGACAUGGCUUACUCCUUGUUCCUUGUGCAGCCCAGCAUAUUCCCCAAACAUCUGUAAUCUUAGCAGGAAAGCUUGUCUUCUUAGGUAUAUAAGGAUUCCCAUCAUAUUCUCACCCAGCAGAACAAAAGCAGAAUGGAUAUGUUCCUGAGUUUAAGAAAAGCUAGGUCAACAAGGCAUCUGUUUUAUUAUGAAGAGGUAUAAUGUACCCAAAGAGCUGACUUGUGGUCUUCCAAGUCAUUGGACUGCAGACAUUCUUCUUCAGAGGACACAGCACAGAAGGUCUGUAGACAUUCAACUCCUGCCACACAAAUUCCAAAGGUUUUACAGCAUCUCUAGUAUUUAAAAUAAAUGUAUUU
rnacentral:lncRNA from 7 species